rnacentral:rRNA from 1 species
GGGUUGUGAGGUUAAGCGACUAAGCGUACACGGUGGAUGCCCUGGCAGUCAGAGGCGAUGAAGGACGUGCUAAUCGGCUAAAAGCGUCGGUAAGGUGAUAUGAACCGUUAUAGCCGGCGAUGUCCGAAUGGGGAAACCCAGUGCAAUUCGUUGCACUAUCGUUAACUGAAUACAUAGGUUAACGAGGCGAACCGGGGGAACUGAAACAUCUAAGUACCCCGAGGAAAAGAAAUCAACCGAGAUUCCCCCAGUAGCGGCGAGCGAACGGGGAGCAGCCCAGAGUCUGAAUCAGCUUGUGUGUUAGUGGAACGGUCUGGAAAGUCCGACGGUACAGGGUGAUAGUCCCGUACACCAAAAUGCACAGGCUGUGAACUCGAAGAGUAGGGCGGGACACGUGGUAUCCUGUCUGAAUAUGGGGGGACCAUCCUCCAAGGCUAAAUAC